GGUGAUGUUGUUGGUGUUGAUCCUGGAGGUGAUGUUGUGGGUGUUGAUCCUGGAGGUGAUGAUGUUGGUGUUGAUCCUGGAGGUGAUGAUGGUAUUGAUCCUGGAGGUGAUGUUGUGGGUGUUGAUCCUGGAGGUGAUGAUGUUGGUGUUGAUCCUGGAGGUGAUGAUGGUAUUGAUCCUGGAGGUGAUG